rnacentral:rRNA from 1 species
UACGUAGGUGGCAAGCGUUGUCCGGAUUUACUGGGCGUAAAGAGCGCGCAGGCGGUUGUUUAAGUCUGUUGUGAAAGCCCCGGGCUCAACCUGGGAAUGGCAAUGGAUACUGGCGAGCUAGAGUGUGUCAGAGGAUGGUGGAAUUCCCGGUGUAGCGGUGAAAUGCGUAGAGAUCGGGAGGAACAUCAGUGGCGAAGGCGGCCAUCUGGGACAACACUGACGCUGAGGCACGAAAGCGUGGGGAGCAAACAGG